rnacentral:rRNA from 1 species
GAGCUAGGUGUUGCGCUAACUACAUGUUAGCGCAGUGUCGAAAGGAAGCUGUUAAGCUCACCGCCUGGGAAGUACGGUCGCAAGACUGAAACUUUAAGGAAUUGGCGGGGGAGCACCACAAGGGGUGCGGCGUGCGGUUUAAUCUAACUCAACGCAGAGAACCUUACUAGAAGCGACGGCAGGAUGAAAGUCAACUUGAAGAGUUUACUUGACAAGCCGAGAGGUGGUGCAUGGCCGCCGUCAGCUUGUGCUGUGAAGUGUCCAGCUAAGCCUGGCAACGAGCGAGACCUGUAUCCGCAAUUGCUAACAGCCACAUGUGGGACUGAGCACUUUGCGGAGACUGCCUUGGAAACAAGGAGGAAGGUGCAGGCUACGGUAGGUCUGUAUGCCCCGAAUCUUCUAGGCUACACGCGCGCAACAAUGGUUGGGACAAUGGGAUGCCACUCCGAAAGGAGAAGCUAAACCUCUAAACCCAAUCCAAGUCCAGAUCGAGGCUUGCAACUCAGCCUCGUGACGAUGGAAUCCCUAGUAAUCAGAAGUCAUCAUCUUCUGGUGAAUAUGUCCCUGCUCCUUGCACACACCGCCCGUCAAAUCAACCGA